rnacentral:rRNA from 6 species
CAACUUUCAACAACGGAUCUCUUGGCUCUCGCAUCGAUGAAGAACGCAGCGAAAUGCGAUAAGUAAUGUGAAUUGCAGAAUUCAGUGAAUCAUCGAAUCUUUGAACGCACCUUGCGCCCCUUGGUAUUCCGAGGGGCAUGCCUGUUUGAGUGUCAUGUAAUUCUCAAU